AGAGUUUGAUCCUGGCUCAGAACGAACGCUGGCGGCAUGCUUCAGACAUGCAAGUCGAACGAGAUCUUCGGAUCUAGUGGCGCACGGGUGAGUAACGCGUGGGAACCUACCUUUCAGUUCGGAAUAACAGUUGGAAACGACUGCUAAUACCGUAUACGCCCUCAGGGGGAAAGGUCAGCCGCUGAAAGAGGGGCCCGCGUCUGAUUAGCUUGUUGGUAGGGUAAAAGCCUACCAAGGCUUCGAUCAGUAGCUGGUCUGAGAGGAUGAUCAGCCACACUGGGACUGAGACACGGCCCAGACUCCUACGGGAGGCAGCAGUCGGGAAUAUUGGACAAUGGAGGAAACUCUGAUCCAGCAAUGCCGCGUGUGUGAUGAAGGCCCUAGGGUUGUAAAGCACUUUCAACGGUGAAGAUGAUGACGGUAGCCGUAGAAGAAGCCCCGGCUAACUUCGUGCCAGCAGCCGCGGUAAUACGAAGGGGGCGAGCGUUGUUCGGAAUUAUUGGGCGUAAAGGGCGCGCAGGCGGUUUGGAUAGUUAGACGUGAAAGCCCUGGGCUUAACCUAGGAACUGCGUUUAAUACUGCC
rnacentral:rRNA from 1 species